rnacentral:rRNA from 1 species
UUAAGUUAUUAAGGGCGCACGGUGGAUGCCUUGGCACUAGAAGCCGAUGAAGGACGUUACUAACGACGAUAUGCUUUGGGGAGCUGUAAGUAAGCUUUGAUCCAGAGAUUUCCGAAUGGGGAAACCCAGCAUGAGUUAUGUCAUGUUAUCGAUAUGUGAAUACAUAGCAUAUCAGAAGGCACACCCGGAGAACUGAAACAUCUUAGUACCCGGAGGAAGAGAAAGAAAAUUCGAUUCCCUUAGUAGCGGCGAGCGAAACGGGAAGAGCCCAAACCAACAAGCUUGCUUGUUGGGGUUGUAGGACACUCUAUACGGAGUUACAAAGGACGACAUUAGACGAAUCAUCUGGAAAGAUGAAUCAAAGAAGGUAAUAAUCCUGUAGUCGAAAAUGUUGUCUCUCUUGAGUGGAUCCUGAGUACGACGGAGCACGUGAAAUUCCGUCGGAAUCUGGGAGGACCAUCUCCUAAGGCUAAAUACUCUCUAGUGACCGAUAGUGAACCAGUACCGUGAGGGAAAGGUGAAAAGCACCCCGGAAGGGGAGUGAAAUAGAACCUGAAACCGUGUGCUUACAAGUAGUCAGAGCCCGUUAAUGGGUGAUGGCGUGCCUUUUGUAGAAUGAACCGGCGAGUUACGAUUUGAUGCAAGGUUAAGCAGUAAAUGUGGAGCCGUAGCGAAAGCGAGUCUGAAUAGGGCGUUUAGUAUUUGGUCGUAGACCCGAAACCAGGUGAUCUACCCUUGGUCAGGUUGAAGUUCAGGUAACACUGAAUGGAGGACCGAACCGACUUACGUUGAAAAGUGAGCGGAUGAACUGAGGGUAGCGGAGAAAUUCCAAUCGAACCUGGAGAUAGCUGGUUCUCUCCGAAAUAGCUUUAGGGCUAGCCUCAAGUGAUGAUUAUUGGAGGUAGAGCACUGUUUGGACGAGGGGCCCCUCUCGGGUUACCGAAUUCAGACAAACUCCGAAUGCCAAUUAAUUUAACUUGGGAGUCAGAACAUGGGUGAUAAGGUCCGUGUUCGAAAGGGAAACAGCCCAGACCACCAGCUAAGGUCCCAAAAUAUAUGUUAAGUGGAAAAGGAUGUGGCGUUGCCCAGACAACUAGGAUGUUGGCUUAGAAGCAGCCAUCAUUUAAAGAGUGCGUAAUAGCUCACUAGUCGAGUGACACUGCGCCGAAAAUGUACCGGGGCUAAACAUAUUACCGAAGCUGUGGAUUGUCCUUUGGACAAUGGUAGGAGAGCGUUCUAAGGGCGUUGAAGCAUGAUCGUAAGGACAUGUGGAGCGCUUAGAAGUGAGAAUGCCGGUGUGAGUAGCGAAAGACGGGUGAGAAUCCCGUCCACCGAUUGACUAAGGUUUCCAGAGGAAGGCUCGUCCGCUCUGGGUUAGUCGGGUCCUAAGCUGAGGCCGACAGGCGUAGGCGAUGGAUAACAGGUUGAUAUUCCUGUACCACCUAUAAUCGUUUUAAUCGAUGGGGGGGACGCAGUAGGAUAGGCGAAGCGUGCGAUUGGAUUGCACGUCUAAGCAGUAAGGCUGAGUAUUAGGCAAAUCCGGUACUCGUUAAGGCUGAGCUGUGAUGGGGAGAAGACAUUGUGUCUUCGAGUCGUUGAUUUCACACUGCCGAGAAAAGCCUCUAGAUAGAAAAUAGGUGCCCGUACCGCAAACCGACACAGGUAGUCAAGAUGAGAAUUCUAAGGUGAGCGAGCGAACUCUCGUUAAGGAACUCGGCAAAAUGACCCCGUAACUUCGGGAGAAGGGGUGCUCUUUAGGGUUAACGCCCAGAAGAGCCGCAGUGAAUAGGCCCAAGCGACUGUUUAUCAAAAACACAGGUCUCUGCUAAACUGUAAGGUGAUGUAUAGGGGCUGACGCCUGCCCGGUGCUGGAAGGUUAAGAGGAGUGGUUAGCUUCUGCGAAGCUACGAAUCGAAGCCCCAGUAAACGGCGGCCGUAACUAUAACGGUCCUAAGGUAGCGAAAUUCCUUGUCGGGUAAGUUCCGACCCGCACGAAAGGCGUAACGAUUUGGGCACUGUCUCAACGAGAGACUCGGUGAAAUCAUAGUACCUGUGAAGAUGCAGGUUACCCGCGACAGGACGGAAAGACCCCGUGGAGCUUUACUGUAGCCUGAUAUUGAAAUUCGGCACAGCUUGUACAGGAUAGGUAGGAGCCUUUGAAACGUGAGCGCUAGCUUACGUGGAGGCGCUGGUGGGAUACUACCCUAGCUGUGUUGGCUUUCUAACCCGCACCACUUAUCGUGGUGGGAGACAGUGUCAGGCGGGCAGUUUGACUGGGGCGGUCGCCUCCUAAAAGGUAACGGAGGCGCUCAAAGGUUCCCUCAGAAUGGUUGGAAAUCAUUCAUAGAGUGUAAAGGCAUAAGGGAGCUUGACUGCGAGACCUACAAGUCGAGCAGGGUCGAAAGACGGACUUAGUGAUCCGGUGGUUCCGUAUGGAAGGGCCAUCGCUCAACGGAUAAAAGCUACCCCGGGGAUAACAGGCUUAUCUCCCCCAAGAGUUCACAUCGACGGGGAGGUUUGGCACCUCGAUGUCGGCUCAUCGCAUCCUGGGGCUGUAGUCGGUCCCAAGGGUUGGGCUGUUCGCCCAUUAAAGCGGUACGCGAGCUGGGUUCAGAACGUCGUGAGACAGUUCGGUCCCUAUCCGUCGUGGGCGUAGGAAAUUUGAGAGGAGCUGUCCUUAGUACGAGAGGACCGGGAUGGACAUACCUCUGGUGUACCAGUUGUCGUGCCAACGGCAUAGCUGGGUAGCUAUGUGUGGACGGGAUAAGUGCUGAAAGCAUCUAAGCAUGAAGCCCCCCUCAAGAUGAGAUUUCCCAACUUCGGUUAUAAGAUCCCUCAAAGAUGAUGAGGUUAAUAGGUUCGAGGUGGAAGCAUGGUGACAUGUGGAGCUGACGAAUACUAAUCGAUCGAAGACUUAAUCAA